GAGCGGCGGACGGGUGAGUAAUACUUAGGAAUCUACCUAGUAGUGGGGGAUAGCACGGGGAAACUCGUAUUAAUACCGCAUACGACCUACGGGAGAAAGGGGGCAACUUGUUGCUCUCGCUAUUAGAUGAGCCUAAGUCGGAUUAGCUAGAUGGUGGGGUAAAGGCCUACCAUGGCGACGAUCUGUAGCUGGUCUGAGAGGAUGAUCAGCCACACCGGGACUGAGACACGGCCCGGACUCCUACGGGAGGCAGCAGUGGGGAAUAUUGGACAAUGGGGGAAACCCUGAUCCAGCCAUGCCGCGUGUGUGAAGAAGGCCUUUUGGUUGUAAAGCACUUUAAGCAGUGAAGAAGACUCCUCGGUUAAUACCCGUGGACGAUGACAUUAGCUGCAGAAUAAGCACCGGCUAACUCUGUGCCAGCAGCCGCGGUAAUACAGAGGGUGCAAGCGUUAAUCGGAAUUACUGGGCGUAAAGGGAGCGUAGGUGGCUCGAUAAGUCAGAUGUGAAAUCCCCGGGCUCAACCUGGGAACUGCAUCUGAUACUGUUGAGCUAGAGUAUGUGAGAGGAAGGUAGAAUUCCAGGUGUAGCGGUGAAA
rnacentral:rRNA from 1 species